ACGGAAGGCAGCAGUGGGGAAUAUUGCACAAUGGGCGAAAGCCUGAUGCAGCGACGCCGCGUGAGUGAAGAAGUAUUUCGGUAUGUAAAGCUCUAUCAGCAGGGAAGAAAAUGACGGUACCGACUAAGAAGCCCCGGCUAACUACGUUCCAGCAGCCGCGGUAAUACGUAGGGGGCAAGCGUUAUCCGGAUUUACUGGGUGUACAGGGAGCGUAGACGGUAAUACAAGUCUGAAGUGUAAGCUCGAGGCUCAACUUCGGAAUUGCUUUGGAAACUGUGUUACUAGAGUGCAGGAGAGGCAAGUGGAAUUCCUAGUGUAGCGGUGAAAUGCGUAGAUAUUAGGAGGAACACCAGUGGCGAAGGCGGCUUGCUGGACUGUAACUGACGUUGAGGCUCGAAAGCGUGGGGAGCAAACAGGACUAGAUACCCUGGUA
rnacentral:rRNA from 1 species